GAUGAACGCUGGCGGCGUGCUUAACACAUGCAAGUCGAACGGAAAGGCUCCUGCUUGCAGGGGUACUCGAGUGGCGAACGGGUGAGUAACACGUGGGUGAUCUGCCCUGCACUUCGGGAUAAGCCUGGGAAACUGGGUCUAAUACCGGAUAGGACGAUGGUUUGGAUGCCAUUGUGGAAAGUUUUUUCGGUGUGGGAUGAGCUCGCGGCCUAUCAGCUUGUUGGUGGGGUAAUGGCCUACCAAGGCGUCGACGGGUAGCCGGCCUGAGAGGGUGUACGGACACAUUGGGACUGAGCUACGGCCCAGACUCCUACGGGAGGCAGCAGUGGGGAAUAUUGCACAAUGGGCGCAAGCCUGAUGCAGCGACGCCGCGUGGGGGAUGACGGCCUUCGGGUUGUAAACUCCUUUCGCUAGGGACGAAGCGCAAGUGACGGUACCGGGAGAAGAAGCACCGGCUAACUACGUG
rnacentral:rRNA from 1 species